CCUACGGGAGGCUGCAGUGGGGAAUAUUGGACAAUGGGCGAAAGCCUGAUCCAGCCAUGCCGCGUGUGUGAAGAAGGCCUUCGGGUUGUAAAGCACUUUCAGUGGGGAAGAAAGCCUUGGGGCUAAUACCCUCGAGGAAGGACAUCACCCACAGAAGAAGCACCGGCUAACUCCGUGCCAGCAGCCGCGGUAAUACGGAGGGUGCGAGCGUUAAUCGGAAUUACUGGGCGUAAAGCGCGCGUAGGCGGUCUGAUAAGCCGGUUGUGAAAGCCCCGGGCUCAACCUGGGAACGGCAUCCGGAACUGUCAGGCUAGAGUGCAGGAGAGGAAGGUAGAAUUCCCGGUGUAGCGGUGAAAUGCGUAGAGAUCGGGAGGAAUACCAGUGGCGAAGGCGGCCUUCUGGACUGACACUGACGCUGAGGUGCGAAAGCGUGAGUAGCAAACAGGAUUAGAUACCCGGGUAGUC
rnacentral:rRNA from 1 species